rnacentral:rRNA from 1 species
UACGUAGGGUGCAAGCGUUGUCCGGAAUUAUUGGGCGUAAAGAGCUCGUAGGCGGUUCGUUGCGUCGGCUGUGAAAUCCCGAGGCUCAACCUCGGGUCUGCAGUCGAUACGAGCAAACUAGAGUGUUGCAGGGGAGACUGGAAUUCCUGGUGUAGCGGUGAAAUGCGCAGAUAUCAGGAGGAACACCGGUGGCGAAGGCGGGUCUCUGGGCAACAACUGACGCUGGAGGAGCGAGAGCGUGGGGAGCGAACAGG